GACGAACGCUGGCGGCGUGCUUAACACAUGCAAGUCGAACGGAAAGGCCCCCUUGUGGGGUACUCGAGUGGCGAACGGGUGAGUAACACGCGAGUAACCUACCCUUGACUAUGGGAUAACUUCAGGAAACUGGGGCUAAUACCGGAUAGGAGCUCCUGCUGCAUGGUGGGGGUGGGAAAGUUUCGGCGGUUGGGGAUGGACUCGCGGCUUAUCAGCUUGUUGGUGGGGUAGUGGCUCACCAAGGCUUUGACGGGUAGCCGGCCUGAGAGGGUGACCGGCCACGUUGGGACUGAGAUACGGCCCAGACUCCUACGGGAGGCAGCAGUGGGGAAUAUUGCACAAUAAGCGGAAGCCUGAUGCAGCAACGCCGCGUGCGGGAUGACGGCCUUCGGGUUGUAAGCCGCUUUCGCCUGUGACGAAGCGUGAGUGACGGUAAUGGGUAAAGAAGCACCGGCUAACUACGUG
rnacentral:rRNA from 1 species